rnacentral:rRNA from 1 species
AUUGAACGCUGGCGGCAUGCCUUACACAUGCAAGUCGAACGGUAACAGGUCUUCGGAUGCUGACGAGUGGCGAACGGGGGAGUAAUACAUCGGCACGUGCCCGCGAGUGGGGGAUAACGAAGCGAAAGCUUUCCUAAUACCGCAUACGAUCCCAGGAUGAAAGCAGGGGACCGCAAGGCCUUGAGCUCACGGAGCGGCCGAUGGCAGAUUAGGUAGUUGGAGGGAUAAAAGCUUACCAAGCCGACGCGCUGUAGCUGGUCUGAGAGGACGACCAGCCACACUGGGACUGAGACACGGCCCAGACUCCUACGGGAGGCAGCAGUGGGGAAUUUUGGACAAUGGGCGCAAGCCUGAUCCAGCCAUGCCGCGUGCAGGAUGAAGGCCUUCGGGUUGUAAACUGCUUUUGUACGGAACGAAAAGACUCUGGUUAAUACCUGGGGUCCAUGACGGUACCGUAAGAAUAAGCACCGGCUAACUACGUGCCAGCAGCCGCGGUAAGAC